rnacentral:tRNA from 1 species
GGGGUUGUGGCUCAGUGGUAGAGUGCUUACCUGGUAUGUGUGAGGUCCUGGGUUCCAUCCUCAGCACCACA